CCCAAGAAAACAGCUUUUAGUGUAUCUAGCCCAUUGAUCCACAGUGUGCCAUGACUCAUCUGAUUUUGAAAGUCAGCUUCCUCCUUCAGGAAGUUUCCCUGAUUAACAGCCGAGAACGUUCUGCUUCUCCUACCUAUCCCUGCAUAUCCCAGACCUUUGCUCCUGGUGUGGUCCUGGAAAGGUCCUCUGGUCUGGCCAAGCAGGAUCUCACCUGGAUUUCAACUCUGGAUUUUAAAUUCCCCAAUGGCAAGGGACAAGAAGAGGAGGCUCAGAGAGGUUAAAUAACUUCCCAAGGCCACUGGGUAAGAAACCGUGGGAUCUGAAUGCAGCUGAGGCUGUUGGAUGCCAGAGCCUAGACACAGAGCACAGCCUCAUUCUUCAGCCUCCCAGGUCCUCUAACGCAGUGUGUCCAGAGCUGAGCCCGCCUAGAACUGCCUUCCUUUUCUCAGACACCUGGGAGACGUCCUAGACUCCAUCCUCUCUGUUGCCGCAAAACAUAACCAGUUGCUUCUUGAGUCUUUCUGUGAUGUGCACCUGCCUCCAUCCCAUGGCCACUGCCUCAGUGUCAAGGCCCUCAUGAACUCUCAUCUUUGUAUUUGCAAGAACCUCCCCACAAGCCCCCUCCAAGCUACCUUCCACAGAGCAACUAAAGAAAUCUAACUAGAAUAUUAAUGGUCACAGCUUAAUACCACCAUCUCCUCCCAGCGUGCUCAGGGGUUCCCCAUGGCCUGCGGGGUUGGUCUCCCAGCUCAGGAGGCCCUUCAUAAUCAGGCCUUCCUCACCUCUCUGGCUUCCUCCUGGCAACUUGGCUCCAGCUAUGCCAAAUUACCUGUGGUCCCCCAAGCACAGUAUACCCUUUCACAAUUCUGUGUCUUUACUGUGCUGUUCCUCCUGCCAGCAAUACCCUUCCUUGUCUUCUCUAUCCAACAAACUCUUAUUCAUCCCUCAAAACCCUGAUAUGGCAUCUUCUCCCUUAUUCUGAAGCUUUUUCUGACCUCCCAAAGACAAAGGGUUUAAUACCUCCAGCAACACAGCCCUGCACUGUAAUGAAAGGGCUGGCUCCCCUAGAAAGCAGGACAGUGCAGAACCUUCUCUAUUUCUCUGUAACCUAGUUCAGGGCCUGGCACCCUGUAGGCACUAAUAAACGCUUACUGAGCUGAAGGAGACUGUUCUCCCCAAAAUCGGAUUUUAGAGGUUUAUUGCCUGCCCUGCCAUUCAUCUUCCUAAAGCUUCCCUCCUGGAGGGCUGGACUGGGUCUUGCAUUUUGCUUCUCUCCUCCAUAGCAAUGGGGCUGCAGCUACACUAUUCUCUAUUUCCUUGGGGGUCUGACAGGGUAUCCAGCUGCUCCACCCCACAAACUGUCCCUUGGGGUGAGUUGGAAAAGCACCUCCCCAUCCCCCACCUUUGUACCUUGGAGGGGAGGAGGUUGACUUCCAUGAUGCACACGGCUGCCAUGCGGGACACUGCCAGUCCGAUGGCCUUCUCCAGGAAAAACAAGAUUCCAGGCACCAGCAGCCACUUCCAGAAGUUGGGCCCAUGAAAGAUGAGCAGAAGCCACACGAGGAGGUAGGACAGGAACUGGAGCAGAUGAACAUGAGGAGGAGCAGCAGCAGCAGAGCGACACCUGUCGGGGAGGCCGAACCGUGUACCCAGCCAAUGCCAGGCCUCGUGGUGAGCAGCAGCUCCCAGAACUGGAAAGGGCUGGCCUCCGCCUGAGCCUGGAGUACUGGAAACAAGCUCAGAAAGGUUGAGUGACUGCAAGACCAGCUCUUCCCACUCCACCUUCCCAUUGGGAUCCCCACCCUGCACCAUCAGAUACUAGCACGGGCAGAAACUUUUGUCCAGAGCGUUGGCUUAUCCAGGGCACCCCUUCUCUGCCCUUUGGGCAGGCAGUACACACAGGGGCUGGGCCCUGCAUUCUGGGCUUGAGGCUGCUCAAGCUUCUCCCCGACCCAACCCUGCCCCAGAUCACUCACCAAAGUUCACAGUGUGAGCCACGGUGUGCACGAGGGACAGCCCCACUACCACGUAGCCCAUAAGCUGGUGGAACUGGAUGUUCUGGUCCAGUGGUAGGACUUGAGCCAGCCACGUGGCCCGCAGCCAGGUGAGGCAGCGUCUGAGCAUCAGCACCUGGCCAGGCAGAGUGGGAGAGAGCCCUGCCUCACUCUCUGUCUGCCUUGUCCUCUUUUCCCAGCCACCUCCCUGCAUCCUCCUGAGCUAGCUGUGCUUUCUGAACAGGACACUCACCAAAGUCCCCUGCCCCCAUGCCUUGUUGCUUCCCUGGAUUCAUACCUGGGGUCUCUAGAGGAGGAUCUCCAGAAUUGUGGCGGGAAGAGAAAGUUACAGAAUGUCUAUUUGUAUUAAUUUUUGUCUAAACACAUGAGAAACAUCUAUGCUUUUACUAAUAUUUAAUAUAUGGGCCAGGCGCAGUGGCUCACUCCACUAAUCUCAGCACUUUGGAAGGCUGAGACAGUAGGAUCACUGGAGCCUAGGAGUUUGAGACCAGCCUGGGCAACACAGCGAGACCCCUGUCUCUAUAGAAAAAAAAAAUUGUUUAAUUAGCUGGGCAUGGUGGCACACACCUGUAAUCCUAGCUACUUAGGGGGCUGAGGCAGGAGGACUGCUUGAGCCCAGGAUUGCUUGAGCCCAGGCGUUUGAGGUUACAGCAACCUAUGAUCAGUCCACUGCACUCCAGCCUGGGUGACAAAGACCAUGUCUCAAAUAAAUAAAUAAAUAAAUAAAAUAUCUCUGUUGACUUGGUGCCCUCAUUUAGUCCAUAUGUCAGAUGGGCACGUGUUGUGUUAGUUCUCGAGGUGCCUUGCAGGAGCCAAAUCCAGAGUGGUUAACCAGGGUUCUCUCAUUGCUCAUUUGCUUUCAGUAUAUUUAUGUUUGCCAAGGAUGUGGACUUGUAGGUUACAGUAUUUGACUUUACCAAAACUAAGCUAACUACCCCUCACAGGAAGGACAAGUAGCUUUAAAAGUUUCCCAGCAGAGAAACCACAGAUUAACAGUUGUGUUAGUAAUACAUGAGCAAGUGACCAAGAAAAUGAAUCACACGUC
rnacentral:lncRNA from 1 species